rnacentral:misc_RNA from 1 species
AGCAGCCGCGGUAAUUCCAGCUCCAAUAGCGUAUAUUAAAGUUGUUGCAGUUAAAAGCUCGUAGUUGAAUUUCGGGGUCUGUCCGUCGGUCGGGCUUCACGGUCCGUACUGGUGUGAUGGGUUCCUACCUUCUGAAUAACCGGCAUGCCAUUCAGUUGGUGCGCCGGGGAAGCAGAGCUAUUACCUUGAAAAAUUAGAGUGCUUAAAGCAGGCUAGUGCUUGAAUAGAUUAGCAUGGAAUAAUAAAAUAGGACGGCAUGGUUCUAUUUUGUUGGUUUCUAGGAUCACCGUAAUGAUUAAUAGGGAUAGUUGGGGGCAUUAGUAUUCAAUUGUCAGAGGUGAAAUUCUUGGAUUUAUUGAAGACU